GCAUUAUUCACAGUGGCCAAGAAAUGGAAAUCACUGAAAUGUGCUUCAGUUGAUGAUUGGAUAAAGGAUAUGUGAUGUAGAAAUUGAGGCAAGUGAGGUUAAAGAACUUGUCCAAGGCCACCCUGCAAAUACAAGUGAAACCAGGAUGUACAGUUCCAGUUUCCAUUCUUAAGCAUCAUGAUUUUCUGCCUUACUAAUUGGGAUCGUGUUGUAUCAAUUUUCUACAACUUAUUUUUAUUCUUAACAGGCUAGAGUUCUCUGGACUUAUUGUUGGUAGACAUGUCCCUGGCCUCUUCUUGGAGGACGUGUCCCAUCGCUACGGGCAGUUGAGAAGCAAGAGAAGCUAGCUGCGAACCAGCUUGCACAACCGGAGGAAAAAUAGUCAUGAUAGCAAUAAUUAGAAUUCAUCAAAUUACAUUUAGAUUCUGUCCUAGAACUUCUUCAUCCUGAGUCUUUAAAGCACAUUAAGAGAUAACUCGAGAUCAAUGGUUCCAUCCAGCUGACGUUUAGUUACUUACAAGCCAUUGAACCGCUAGAAGCUAAAUGAUGUCAUCUGCUCCAGUAGUUUGUAGUGAAGACAUCAAAAUGCACACAUACCUUGUACAUGCAUCUUUAAGUGUAUGUACAGGUUUUUACUAUAGAUUUCAGUAU